rnacentral:piRNA from 1 species
UUCCACUGGGAAAGAGCAAGUCCUGGCGGA